rnacentral:rRNA from 1 species
UACGGAGGGGGGCUAGCGUUGUUCGGAAUUACUGGGCGUAAAGCGUGCGCAGGCGGCUUUGCAAGACAGAUGUGAAAUCCCCGGGCUCAACCUGGGAAUUGCAUCUGUGACUGCAUAGCUAGAGUACGGUAGAGGGGGAUGGAAUUCCGCGUGUAGCAGUGAAAUGCGUAGAUAUGCGGAGGAACACCGGUGGCGAAGGCGGCGACCUGGUUCGAUACUGACACUGAGGUGCAAAAGCGUGGGGAGCAAACAGG